rnacentral:rRNA from 1 species
CCUACGGGUGGCAGCAGUGAGGAAUAUUGGUCAAUGGCCGGAAGGCUGAACCAGCCAUGCCGCGUGAAGGUCAGUGCCCUAUGGGCGUUAAACUUCUUUUGUGCGGGAGCAAUAAUGGUCACGUGUGGCCAGACGAGAGUACCGUACGAAUAAGCAUUGGCUAACUCCGUGCCAGCAGCCGCGGUAAUACGGGGGAUGCAAGCGUUAUCCGGAUUUAUUGGGGUUAAAGGGUGCGUAGGCUGUGAGGUAAGUCAGCGGUGAAAUGCCCCCGCUCAACGGGGUGAAGUGCCAUUGAUACUGCAUUGCUGGAAUGCGGAUGCCGUGGGAGGAAUGUGUGGUGUAGCGGUGAAAUGCAUAGAUAUCACACAGAACACCGAUUGCGAAGGCAUCUCACGAAUCCGCGAUUGACGCUGAUGCACGAAAGCGUGGGUAUCAAACAGGAUUAGAUACCCCUGUAGUC